UACAGAGGUCCCCGAGCGUUUGUUCGGAUUUAUUGGGCGUAAAGGGUGCGUAGGCGGCGGAGUAAGUUGGGUGUGAAAUCCCCAGCUCAACCUGGGAACUGCGUCUGAUACUGGAUGGCUUGAAUCCGGGAGAGGGAUGCAGAAUUCCAGGUGUAGCGGUGAAAUGCGUAGAUAUCUGGAGGAAUACCGGUGGCGAAGGCGGCAUCCUGGACCGGCAUUGACGCUGAGGAGCGAAAAGCCAGGGGGAGCAAACGGG
rnacentral:rRNA from 1 species